GAUGAACGCUGGCGGCGUGCCUAAUACAUGCAAGUCGAGCGAACGGACGAGAAGCUUGCUUCUCUGAUGUUAGCGGCGGACGGGUGAGUAACACGUGGAUAACCUACCUAUAGGACUGGGAUAACUUCGGGAAACCGGAGCUAAUACCGGAUAAUAUUUUGAACCGCAUGGUUCAAAAGUGAAAGACGGUCUUGCUGUCACUUAUAGAUGGAUCCGCGCUGCAUUAGCUAGUUGGUAAGGUAACGGCUUACCAAGGCAACGAUGCAUAGCCGACCUGAGAGGGUGAUCGGCCACACUGGAACUGAGACACGGUCCAGACUCCUACGGGAGGCAGCAGUAGGGAAUCUUCCGCAAUGGGCGAAAGCCUGACGGAGCAACGCCGCGUGAGUGAUGAAGGUCUUCGGAUCGUAAAACUCUGUUAUUAGGGAAGAACAUAUGUGUAAGUAACUGUGCACAUCUUGACGGUACCUAAUCAGAAAGCCACGGCUAACUACGU
rnacentral:rRNA from 1 species